UACGGAGGGUGCAAGCGUUAUCCGGAAUCACUGGGCGUAAAGGGUGCGUAGGCGGGUUUUUAAGUCAGGGGUGAAAUCCUGGAGCUCAACUCCAGAACUGCCUUUGAUACUGAAGAUCUUGAGUCCGGGAGAGGUGAGUGGAACUGCGAGUGUAGAGGUGAAAUUCGUAGAUAUUCGCAAGAACACCAGUGGCGAAGGCGGCUCACUGGCCCGGUACUGACGCUGAGGCACGAAAGCGUGGGGAGCAAACAGG
rnacentral:rRNA from 1 species